AUCUCAUAGUCGGCAUCACAACCGAAGAUGGCGGAUAGCGAGAACUCGGUAGAAAUGGAGGGACUUUACCAGCCCCCAAACGAGCUUCAGAAAGAUGCUCAUGUCAAGAGCUUUGAUCAGUAUAAAGAAAUGUACAAGAAGUCCGUUGAAGAGCCAGAAGAAUUUUGGAAAGAGAUUGCAAAGGAAUUUUAUUGGAAGUCGCCCCCCACUGGCCGGUUUCUUGAGUACAACUUCGACUAUACACAAGGACCCAUAUCCAUCAAAUGGAUGGAAGGAGCGAAAACUAACAUCUGCUACAACGUGCUUGACAGAAACAUCGAACGUGGUUUGGGAGACAAGAUAGCAUUUUAUUGGGAAGGGAAUGACCCCAACGACCAUGGUAAAAUAACCUACAAGGAAUUGCUGCAGAAAGUAUGCAAGUUUGCCAACGUUCUCAAGGCUCAGGGAAUAAAGAAAGGGGAUCGUGUGGCAAUCUACAUGCCGAUGAUCGUGGAGCUGACGAUAGCCAUGUUGGCCUGUGCCAGGAUAGGAGCCAUUCAUUCCAUUGUGUUCGCUGGAUAUUCCUCGGAGUCGUUAGCAGACAGAAUCAUAGAUGCCAAAUGUUUAGCAGUUAUGACUGCAGAUGGUGUGUGGCGUGGCACCAAACUUCUGAAUCUCAAACAAAUUGUGGAUGAAGCCAUUAGGUUGAGUGGAGAGAGAAGCCACAAGGUGUCCAAGUGUAUCGUAGUGCGGCAUCUGUCACCGUCUGAUGAGGAGGUGAUUGAUGGAGAUGGGGACGGCCAUGAUGAACCUCCGGCCAAGAGGCCCUACAGGAAGCUCAAGAUCAACUGGCACAGUGACCGUGAUGUAUGGUGGCAUGAUGUGAUGAAGGACAGUAGUGACAUCUCGGAGCCGGAAUGGAUGGAUGCAGAGGACCCACUUUUCAUGCUGUAUACCAGUGGUUCAACAGGGAAACCUAAAGGUGUCCUCCACACUGUUGGAGGCUACAUGUUGUUCACGGCGACGACGUUCAAGUACGUGUUUGACUACCAACCUGACGAUGUGUACUGGUGUACGGCGGACGUUGGCUGGAUCACUGGACACUCGUAUGUCUGCUAUGGUCCGCUAGGAAAUGGAGCCACCAGCAUCAUAUUUGAGGGCACGCCAAUGUACCCUGAUGCUGGACGACUGUGGGAAGUGGUAGACAAGUACAAGGUGACCAAGUUCUACACCGCCCCCACAGCCAUCAGGUCGCUCAUGAAGUUCGGGGACAGCUUUGUCACAAAAUACUCCCGGAAGUCCCUGAAGAUCUUGGGCACUGUAGGCGAACCCAUCAACCCUGAGGCCUGGCUGUGGUAUCACAAGGUUGUGGGCAACGGAAAAUGUGCAAUUGUAGACACGUUCUGGCAGACAGAGACGGGAGGUCAUGUGAUCACUCCACUUCCCGGUGCCACUGCCACAAAACCAGGAUCAGCUACAUUCCCUUUCUUCGGCGUAGUUCCAGCCAUUGUGAAUGACGAGGGGAAGGAACUCACAGGGGCCGCUGAAGGAUAUUUGGUGUUCAAGCAGCCUUGGCCCAGCAUCAUGAGGACAGUGUAUGGAGACCAUGAAAGGUUCGAGACCACAUACUUCAAGAAGUUUCCCGGGUGCUACUGCACUGGAGAUGGUGCACGCAGGGAUGAAGACGGGUACAUAUGGAUCACGGGACGUAUAGACGACAUGGUGAAUGUGUCCGGCCACUUGUUGAGCACAGCGGAAGUGGAGUCCGCCCUCAUUGAGCACAAGGCUGUGACUGAGGCAGCGUCUGUCUCUCACCCACACAAGAUCAAGGGAGAGUGCAUUUACUGCUUCGUCACCCUGAAGCAGGGAUUUGAAUUCACCCCUGAUCUUACAACUGAACUAAAGAAUAUUGUUCGUGCCAAGAUUGGACCAUUUGCUCAACCAGAUUUCAUCCAAAAUGCUCCAGCCUUGCCCAAAACUCGAUCAGGGAAAAUCAUGAGACGUAUCCUGCGGAAGACUGCAGUCGGUGACCGCCAGCUUGGUGAUACGUCAACACUGGCCGAUGAAAGCGUCAUUGAUUUGUUGUUCCAGAACCGACCAAACGAUGCAUAAACUCAUUACCACCAUCGUAGAAAACAUGUGAAGUCAGAAUGCAGUUGUUAACAGUUAGUCUGUUUAUAGCCCAAUUAUUAUUAGUAAUAAGGGAUUAGAUGAGGAAGAUUGUAUUGAUUAUCACUGUUAGGCAGCUUAAACAUUCAGGUGAUUGUUUGCCAGGGGGAGUAGUUGGCACUUUGGUUGUGUGUCACUGUGUGAUUCAUUUCAUCCUUCAUAGGGGCGGUGGGGUAGCCUAGUGGUUAAAGUAUUUGCUCAUCACGCCAUAGAUCCGGGUUCGAUUCCCCACAUGGGUACAAUGUGUGAAGCCCAUUUCUGGUGUCUGUCGUGAUAUUGCUGGAAUAUUGCUAAAAGCGGCGUAAAACCAUACUCACUCACUCACUCAUCCUUCAUAGGACGUUUGUUUUGGGGUUCUCAUAGUUUUUAGUGUAACAGUUUUUGUGUAUUUCGGGGGCAAUCUUGAAGUGUAUGGUUGAUAUUUUGGGUUGUUUGUUUUAGUUUAUACUGUCUCUAGCAGGAUGCAAGCUAAUGUUGACUUCACUGCAAGACAUAUUUAAGAAAGCCAAGGGGCUUUUGUCUUAUCUCUUGAUGUUAAACUUUGCAUGUGUAGGGGUCCUAAACUUUUUCUUUCCUCCUGUCGACUUCUAAUUUGGACCCCAUUUUAAAUUGAAUAUUGGAUAACAUGAGAAUAGUUACCGGCAUAUAUCUAGUCAGGUAUGCAUUCAAAGAUUCUCUCUACAAAUUAUGCCAAAGUUGUUUGUGUGAAGAUUUGAAGAUUUUAUCAACAUCUUUAUGAUGAUCCAUUUGUUACAUUUUCUAUCCAUUUUGUGUCACUGUUGUCAUGGUAAUAACAGUAAAGUUAUUUCUUCUGUGUUUAUACUCAUGACUCAUUACAGAAAUACUGUAUUUGGUUUUCCUUUUUGGUGACUUUUUAGUUGUCCUUUUGUUGACAGUUAGCAACUAACAUUGAUAUAUAUUAUUAUUGCCAUCCCUAUGCCAUUCCUUAUUCUCACACCGUUGUGUGUGCAAUAUUAUGCAAGUACUCAAAAUUAUGUUCUAUACAUAUCCCUUGUUUCUUGAAUUUUCAUCAUUUAUUUGUUAUUUUUAUUGAGGACACAACUGAAUACUUAAUACUUGUUUUUUUGUAAGCAGAACCACAAAUUAAGUCGUGAUCUAUUUAUUUGUAUCAAGAUAUAAUCUGAUAAACAGAUUAACUUAACAUCAUUUCAUAAAUGAAAUCCUCUUCUUGAGGUGAGAUCCUGAUUUUGAUAAUUUUAGUGAGUUAAAGGAAUAUCAAAUGAAAUUGUUACUACUUAUUAUUAUGUAGAAGUGGUUUUUAUUUUUACUGUAUUAUAUUUUCUGUGUUUUUAAGUCUUAUUUGUGUGGGGUUUGAUGAUACUUGAAGGAUACUUUAAGCAUUGAAUUGUAACCUGGGGCUAGAGACACUACAAGAAGUGCAAUAUGAAAUGCAGCAACAAUGAAAGGUGAAUGGUAUGAGAGGAAGCCUCAGGCUAGUGAUGUGAUGUGGACUGUAUCACAUUCUUUAAUGUACUCUAAGCGUAUCAUGAAAGCCAUACCUUAUUGCUACUUACGUUAUUAUACAAUCAGAUUCAGAACUUUGGAUUGUGGCUGUUUUAUGUUUCUACUUCAAUUACAAUCUGGCUGAGUUCUUGCAAAGCAGGGCGGUGGGGUAGCCUAGUGGUUAAAGCAUUCGCUUGUCACGCCGAAGACCCGGGUUCGAUUUGUCACAUGGGUACAAUGUGUGAAGUACAUUUAUGGUUGCUGGAAUAUUGCUAAAAGCGGCGUAAAACUAAACUCACUCACUCACUCUUGCAAAGCUGAGUUAAUAAUACUUUUUGGAAACUGAUACAGAGUGAUGUUAUGAAUUAAUACAUGGGGAGGCAUUUCAUGUACUUUAUCACUUUGUUUAAAUUGUUUAUGUUCAUCUGUAAUUCCCCCCCAAAAGUAUCAUAGAAAAUGGCAAUAUAAGCAUCAUUGUAAGUAAAGAUUCACAAUAGUAGCAUUGUAAUAUGACGUGUAUCACAAUAUUAGCAUUGUGAUAUGACGUGUAUCACAAUGUAAGUGUGAUAUGACGUGUAUCACAAUAUUAGCAGUGUGAUAUGACGUGUAUCACAAAAUUAGCAGUGUGAUAUAACAUGUAUCACAGUAUUAGCAUUGUGAUAUGACAUCUAUCACAAUAUUAGCAUUGUGAUAUGACAUCUAUCACAAUAUUAGCAGUGUGAUAUAACAUGUAUCACAAUAUUAGCAAUGUGAUAUGACAUCUAUCACAAUAUUAGCAUUGUGAUAUGACAUCUAUCACAGUAUUAGCAUUGUGAUAUGACACCUAUCACAAUAUUGGCAUUGUCCUGUGCUGUGAUAUGCAUCAUUGGACUAAUGUAUCUUGGUAUUUACCGGUACUCCAUAUUUGUAUUGUAACCUGUUAGCAUGCUAACUGAAGAUAAUUAAUCAAAACACAUCAACCUUUUCAGUGUUACAUUAAAAAUAAUCAGCUUUGCCUUAUAGCAGUAUGCAAGGACCAAUGUUUAUGUUGCACUGUAUUAUUUUUCCCCCAGUAUUUCUCUGUUGUGGAUCCGAAUCUCUCCUGUUGUUUAUUUCAUUUUGCCUCAACCAUCUUAACCUUUGGCUUAAGAAAACAGCCUAUAUAGUCUUCAUAUUAACAAAUUUGUAAAUAGAACAACUGCUAAGAUACAAUGGAAGCUGUAAUUUUAUGCAUUUUGGUUCUAACAGAUUGCAUUUCCUAUUCUACCAUUCCAUUAAACAGUAUUUGGAACAUCAUAUGUAGUAGAAGUAUGUGGUUUGUAUACAGGGCUAUGUCACCCUAGCAUGGUAUGAGAUGUAUUCAGAACAGCGGUCAGGAUCGACUGUAAGUUAUAGUGUGAUUGUUAUGGCUAAUAUGUGACGAGUCUGUGUGUAUCUGUGUACAUUUGUGUACAAGACAAGGGUAAAUGUACUGGGUAAAAAUCCUGUAGUUUCUAAAUAAGUUCUUUGUUAAGAAUAGUAAUAUGUUUUUCCAUGCAAAACUUUUGAAAUAAGUCCCUUGAAACCAGGAUGAAAAGGAUUUUCGAUCAUUUUUCACAUCCUGAAACAUGGUGAAGAAAAAUCUACAUUUCCUUGUCAUAAAAUCUCUGGUUGAACGGAAAUCCAGAUGUCUUUACAGGUAUAGUUCUUGAGUAACACAUGAGCCUCAUUGCUCUCAUUGUAUUUACCUUUGUGUUAAUUGCAACUAAAUUAGCCACCCAGGCAAUGCCCUUUUCUAUUUGUUAAAUGUCCACAAAGGGUCACCAUCUGACAAACUGAAGGUCACAUGCUUUUUCAAGCAUGUCACCUCAUUCAGCAGCCACUGUGAGCACUACCUAUGCAUUGUACUUACAAUUACCUCAGGUGACCUCGACAUUGUGGUCUUUACCUUUGUUAUCUCCCUUUGGCCAACUGCCUGGAUAGAGGUUACCAGUAAGUUAAAUGUUUCACAAAAUAUUGUUUGUAUUUUUUACUUUGUUGAGUAUUAUUUGUUUAUUGAUGGUGGGGAAUUAAUAAGAAACAUAGUAAAUAGUGUGUAUCAUCCCAAAUAUGAUUUUGUUAAAACCUUACUUACUUUACCAGUAACCCGUGAAGAUCUGGGUUAGAAUUGAUCUUCAGCAACCCAUGCUUGUCGUAAAAGGCAACUAACGGGAUCGGGUGGUUAGGCUCGUUGACUUAGCUGACACCUCAUUGGUUCCCAAUUAUGCAGAACGAUGCUCAUGCUGUUGAUCACUGGAUUGUCUGGUCCAGACUCGAUUAUUUACAGACCGUCGCCAUAUAGCUGGAAUAAUGCUGAGUGCAGCGUAAAACUAAACUCACUCACUCACUACUUUACCAGUAAUUAAUCACUUUCAAAUGAAUUGGUCCAUUGACAUGGGUUCAUCAAAUGAUGAAACCCAGCAUGAAUGUAUUGUUUAUUUGAACCCUGAAUGGAGGGAUUUGAACUGUCUUAGUUAAUUAGUUAGUUGUCCAAUUUAGAGUAUCCCAUAAUAAUUGAAAUCUAGUAAUCAUUCCUAAUCAGGUAGACCAGUGACUCCUAUUUAACCUUGCUGAAGUUACAGAUACUGAUGCUGUGAUCUCUUGGUAUAUCUGUGGCACUAUGUAACAGUCCAGACAAACUAAUAUAUAUGUAUUUAGCACUGUCAGUGUCUGGCUUGCAUGGGUGGUAACUGGGUGGAAGAUCUUCAUAUCAGCUUCGCAAUACAGAAUAUCUUGGUUGUUAGUGUAUGAUAUCAUGUAUAUCAGCAGAAUAAAUUUCUACAGGUACA
rnacentral:misc_RNA from 1 species